AUUGAACGCUGGCGGCAUGCUUUACACAUGCAAGUCGAACGGCAGCGCGGGGCAACCUGGCGGCGAGUGGCGAACGGGUGAGUAAUACAUCGGAACGUACCCAGAAGUGGGGGAUGACGUAGUGAAAGUUACGCUAAUACCGCAUACGUUCUACGGAAGAAAGUGGGGGAUCGCAAGACCUCAUGCUUUUGGAGCGGCCGAUGUCUGAUUAGCUAGUUGGUAGGGUAAAGGCCUACCAAGGCGACGAUCAGUAGCUGGUCUGAGAGGACGACCAGCCACACUGGGACUGAGACACGGCCCAGACUCCUACGGGAGGCAGCAGUGGGGAAUUUUGGACAAUGGGCGCAAGCCUGAUCCAGCAAUGCCGCGUGAGUGAAGAAGGCCUUCGGGUUGUAAAGCUCUUUUGUCAGGGAAGAAACGGCCUGGGUGAAUACCCCGGGCUAAUGACGGUACCUGAAGAAUAAGCACCGGCUAACUACGUGCCAGCCGCCGCGGUAAUAC
rnacentral:rRNA from 1 species